AUGAACGCUGGCGGCGUGCCUAAUACAUGCAAGUCGAGCGAACAGACGAGGAGCUUGCUCCUCUGACGUUAGCGGCGGACGGGUGAGUAACACGUGGAUAACCUACCUAUAAGACUGGGAUAACUUCGGGAAACCGGAGCUAAUACCGGAUAAUAUAUUGAACCGCAUGGUUCAAUAGUGAAAGACGGUUUUGCUGUCACUUAUAGAUGGAUCCGCGCCGCAUUAGCUAGUUGGUAAGGUAACGGCUUACCAAGGCGACGAUGCGUAGCCGACCUGAGAGGGUGAUCGGCCACACUGGAACUGAGACACGGUCCAGACUCCUACGGGAGGCAGCAGUAGGGAAUCUUCCGCAAUGGGCGAAAGCCUGACGGAGCAACGCCGCGUGAGUGAUGAAGGUCUUCGGAUCGUAAAACUCUGUUACUAGGGAAGAACAAAUGUGUAAGUAACUAUGCACGUCUUGACGGUACCUAAUCAGAAAGCCACGGCUAACUACGUG
rnacentral:rRNA from 1 species